rnacentral:rRNA from 1 species
UACGAAGGGGGCUAGCGUUGUUCGGAAUUACUGGGCGUAAAGCGCACGUAGGCGGCUAUUUAAGUCAGGGGUGAAAUCCCAGAGCUCAACUCUGGAACUGCCUUUGAUACUGGGUAUCUCGAGUAUGGAAGAGGUGAGUGGAAUUCCGAGUGUAGAGGUGAAAUUCGUAGAUAUCAAGAGGAACACCUGAGGUGAAGACGGGUUGCUGGGCCGACACUGACGCUGAGUGCGCGAAAGCCAGGGGAGCAAACGGG